rnacentral:rRNA from 1 species
CACGUAGGGUGCGAGCGUUGUCCGGAAUUAUUGGGCGUAAAGAGCUCGUAGGCGGUGUGUCGCGUCGGCCGUGAAAACCUGCAGCUUAACUGUGGGCUUGCGGUCGAUACGGGCAUCACUGGAGUUCGGCAGGGGAGACUGGAAUUCCUGGUGUAGCGGUGAAAUGCGCAGAUAUCAGGAGGAACACCGGUGGCGAAGGCGGGUCCCUGGGCCGAUACUGACGGCUGAGG